rnacentral:lncRNA from 1 species
GAGAAAUUCCAGGGCGUAGCCUGGAGCGAUGCAGGCGUUUGGACCUCUUGGAUCCCCGGAGACAAGAAGAUAAGUGAAAGAUUAAAGGCAGCUUUAAUCUGUCUUAUAAGAUGAAUAAACAAAAGAUUCUGGAAGUCUCUUUCAGCCCCAGCCUGCCUCCCAGGUGUACCCGGUUCAAGUAGGCCACAGGUCGGUAUACAACAGAUUGGCGUCUGAGCCAGGGACCUUGAGAACAUCGGGAAAACACUGAGGGAAUUGCUGUCUUGUAUGGAGCUCCAAGGGAAGGAAAGAAUCAGAGAUCGUAUUGGGCAUGGUGAGCAACAGGAUUUGACAGCGAAAUAUGUGUGGGACUAGAAACUGUGAAUCAGGUGGUUGUCCGCAGCUUUUAAAAGCUGUUUCAGCCUGCCUCCCAAGUGUACCCGGUUCAAGUAGGCCACAGGCCAGCAUACAACACCUAGUUGUAGUAGAAUACCACAGUGAAUUGGAGGUGCCACUUCCAUGGGAUGAUCACCAAGAACAGCAGCAGCAGUGGAGUAGAGUCAACCAGAGUGCUACAGAGGGCAGAGCUGGAGAAGUGACACAACCCUUUGGAGAAGCCCAGAAGAUCAAAUGUGGAUCCAAGACACUGGAACGAGAAGCUGUAAAGUUGAAGUUGCCUCGGAUACCUCAAUAUGUUAGAGAUGUCAGAGCCAUGGGAUAAUUGCCAAGGGAAGCUGCUAACAGGGAGUGGAACCUGCCCAAGAGAAUGAAGUUUGUUGCUGCUGAAUGCUAGAUCUGUCUGUUGGCAUUAAACAUGGGUGAAAGGCCGAAAGUCUCCUCCAGUGCCAUGACGGCCUGGAUGCUGCCAUGCUUCCCACCACGAUGGUAAUGGAAUGAAGACAAACUACGACAAGCAGGGAAGGCUCCCUCCUGACUGAGAAGCCAUGGGCAGUUGACAGCUUUGUGAGGAGAAAGAGUUGGCCUUACUUAUGGGUGUAGCCCCCGUAAGUCAACCAUGCUCUAGAGAAUGGCCCCACCCAAGAGUACAACACAAAUUGGACCUGGUGGGUUAUUUUUAAAAGGGGUGGUCCAUGAAAGUAGGUAGUUAAGGGGGGAAAGAAUCUGGAAAGAGCCAAGGGGAGGAUUGAGGGUAUGGAUAUGAUCAAAAUACACUGUGUGCAUUAAAAUUUCAAAGAAUAAAAUUUCUGAUAUUAUUU